rnacentral:rRNA from 1 species
AUUGAACGCUGGCGGAAUGCUUUACACAUGCAAGUCGAGCGGCAGCGCGGGGGCAACCCUGGCGGCGAGCGGCGAACGGGUGAGUAACAUAUCGGAACGUACCCCGUCGUGGGGGAUAACACAGCGAAAGCUGUGCUAAUACCGCAUACGACCUGAGGGUGAAAGCGGGGGAUCGCAAGACCUCGCGCGAUGGGAGCGGCCGAUAUCGGAUUAGCUUGUUGGUGAGGUAAAGGCUCACCAAGGCGACGAUCCGUAGCUGGUCUGAGAGGACGACCAGCCACACUGGAACUGAGACACGGCCCAGACUCCUACGGGAGGCAGCAGUGGGGAAUAUUGGACAAUGGGCGCAAGCCUGAUCCAGCCAUGCCGCGUGAGUGAUGAAGGCCCUAGGGUUGUAAAGCUCUUUCGACGGGGACGAUAAUGACGGUACCCGUAGAAGAAGCCCCGGCUAACUUCGUGCCAGCAGCCGCGGUAAU